rnacentral:rRNA from 1 species
UACGUAGGGUGCGAGCGUUGUCCGGAAUUAUUGGGCGUAAAGAGCUCGUAGGUGGCUUGUCACGUCGGGUGUGAAAGCUUGGGGCUUAACUCCAGGUCUGCAUUCGAUACGGGCUGGCUAGAGGUAGGUAGGGGAGAACGGAAUUCCUGGUGUAGCGGUGAAAUGCGCAGAUAUCAGGAGGAACACCGGUGGCGAAGGCGGUUCUCUGGGCCGUAACUGACGCUGAGACGCGAAAGCGUGGGGAGCAAACAGG